UACGUAGGGGGCGAGCGUUGUUCGGAUUUACUGGGCGUAAAGGGCGCGCAGGCGGCGCAUUUUGUCAGGCGUGAAAUCCCCGGGCUUAACCUGGGAACUGCGUUUGAUACGGAUGGGCUAGAGUUCGGGAGAGGAGAGUGGAAUUCCCAGUGUAGAGGUGAAAUUCGUAGAUAUUGGGAAGAACACCGGUGGCGAAGGCGGAUCUCUGGACCGAGACUGACGCUGAGGCGCGAAAGCCAGGGGAGCGAACGGG
rnacentral:rRNA from 1 species